rnacentral:rRNA from 1 species
ACGUGAAACCGUUCAGGGGUAAACCUGAGAAACCCAAAAGUUCGAAUGAGGGAGAUUCAUCGUCAGCGGGGCUGGCUUCACGGAGGUUCGUGAUGCUGCGGCGACUUCGGUCCCGCGACACGCGUCCUUCGCGUAUGUCCGGCAACGUCGGCGUGCACUUCUCCUCUAGUAGGACGUCGCGACCCGUUGGGUGUCGGUCUACGGCCCGGGUGGGUGUCUGUCGCGUCGCUUCGGCGCACGCGGCAAACCCCCGGUCGCCUGGCCGGCUGCUCGACGGUACUCGCACGGUAUCGGGCCGCUGAUUUUCGAACGGCGUCGGGCCCUCCGCAAGCGCGGUUAGCGUUUCCCGGUGGUAACGGACCUCGUGCCGUCCCCGGGCCUGACCCGCUGUUAGCCGGUGGUGACCUCCGACAGGCCAAACAACGAUACCGGUCGGCGACGCUAUUGCUUUGGGUACUCUCAGGACCCGUCUUGAAACACGGACCAAGGAGUCUAACAUGUGCGCGAGUCAUUGGGAUUGUUAAACCUAAGGGCGCAAUGAAAGUGAAGGUCGGCCUAGCGUCGACCGAGGGAGGAUGGGCCGCGUUACGAUGCGGCUCCGCACUCCCGGGGCGUCUCGUUCUCAUUGCGAGAGGAGGCGCACCUAGAGCGUACACGUUGGGACCCGAAAGAUGGUGAACUAUGCCUGGUCAGGACGAAGUCAGGGGAAACCCUGAUGGAGGUCCGUAGCGAUUCUGACGUGCAAAUCGAUCGUCGGAACUGGGUAUAGGGGCGAAAGACUAAUCGAACCAUU